rnacentral:rRNA from 1 species
AAGGGCGACUGAAGCGUCAAUAGCUCAUCAUGUGAAUCUGCAGCGCGGAAUUGUGAUCUGGAGACACUUGCAUCCAGGCCAAGUUCCUUGGAAGUGGACAGCUCAGAGGGUGAAACUCCCAUGUGCCUGGCUUUGUCAAUGAGUCGAGUUGUUUGGGAUUGCAGCUCAAAGCAGAUGGUAAAUUCCAUCGAAAGCUAAAAACUAGUGGGAGACCGAUAGUGAACAAGUACCGUGAGGGAAAGAUGCAAAGAACUUUGAAAAGAGAGUUAAAGAGUACCUGAAAUUGCUGAAAAGGAAGCGAAGGAAUCCAGUGCCGUUGCUCCAUACUUCCCUGCUCGCUUGCGGAUGGGGCGCUGUGGCCAACAUAGUCUUGUUCAAU